rnacentral:tRNA from 1 species
GGGCCCUUAGCUCAGUUGGUAGAGCGGUCGGCUCAUAACCGAUUGGUCGUAGGUUCGAGUCCUGCAGGGCCCACUA